rnacentral:rRNA from 1 species
GACGAACGCUGGCGGCGUGCUUAACACAUGCAAGUCACGGGGGCUCGCAAGAGCAACCGGCGAACGGGUGCGUAACACGUGAGCAACCUGCCUUUGUGUGGGGGAUAGCCGGCCCAACGGCCGGGUAAUACCGCAUACGUUCACUGGGGGGAGUCCCCUGGUGAGGAAACCUCCGGGGCGCAAAGAGGGGCUCGCGGCCUAUCAGCUAGUUGGCGGGGUAAUGGCCCACCAAGGCGACGACGGGUAGCUGGUCUGAGAGGAUGGCCAGCCACAUUGGGACUGAGAGACGGCCCAGACUCCUACGGGAGGCAGCAGUGGGGAAUCUUGCGCAAUGGCCGAAAGGCUGACGCAGCGACGCCGCGUGUGGGAGACGCCUCGGU